CCGAGUUUACAACUCCCAAACCCCUGUGAACAUACCUAUACGUUGCCUCGGCGGAUCAGCCCGCGCCCCGUAAAAACGGGACGGCCCGCCAGAGGACCCCUAAACUCUGUUUCUAUAGUGGAACUUCUGAGUAAAACGCAUAAAUAAAUCA
rnacentral:misc_RNA from 1 species